rnacentral:rRNA from 1 species
GAUGAACGCUAGCUACAGGCUUAACACAUGCAAGUCGAGGGGCAGCAUGGUCUUAGCUUGCUAAGGCCGAUGGCGACCGGCGCACGGGUGAGUAACACGUAUCCAACCUGCCGUCUACUCUUGGACAGCCUUCUGAAAGGAAGAUUAAUACCCGAUAGCAUAAUGAUUCCGCAUGGUUUCAUUAUUAAAGGAUUCCGGUAAAGGAUGGGGAUGCGUUCCAUUAGGUUGUUGGUGAGGUAACGGCUCACCAAGCCUUCGAUGGAUAGGGGUUCUGAGAGGAAGGUCCCCCACAUUGGAACUGAGACACGGUCCAA